GCGAGCAUCAUAGCGGAGGAAGAAACCAACAGGGAUUGCCCUAGUAACGGCGAGUGAAGCGGCAACAGCUCAAAUUUGAAAUCUGGCGCAAGCCCGAAUUGUAAUUUGUAGAGGAUGCUUCUGGGCAGCGGCCGUUCUAAGUUCCUUGGAACAGGACGUCAUAGAGGGUGAGAAUCCCGUAUGUGACCGGCGCGCACCCUCCACGUAGCUCCUUCGACGAGUCGAGUUGUUUGGGAAUGCAGCUCUAAAUGGGAGGUAAAUUUCUUCUAAAGCUAAAUACCGGCCAGAGACCGAUAGCGCACAAGUAGAGUGAUCGAAAGAUGAAAAGCACUUUGGAAAGAGAGUUAAAAAGCACGUGAAAUUGUUGAAAGGGAAGCGCUCACAACCAGACUUCGUGGCGGUGUUCCGCCGGUCUUCUGACCGGUCUACUCGCCGCCGCGAGGCCAACAUCAUCUGGGGCCGCUGGAUAAGACCGUAGGAAUGUAGCUCCCCUCGGGGAGUGUUAUAGCCUGCGGUGAUGCAGCGAGCCUCGGGUGAGGUCCGCACUUCGGUAAGGAUGUUGGCGUAAUGGUUGUCAGCGGCCCGUCUUGAAACACGGACCAAGGAGUCUAACAUCUAUGCAAGUGUUCGGGUGUCAAACCCCUACGCGUAAUGAAAGUGAACGGAGGUGGGAACGCAAGUGCACCAUCGACCGAUCCUGAUGUCCUCGGAUGGAUUUGAGUAAGAGCAUAGCUGUUGGGACCCGAAAGAUGGUGAACUAUGCCUGAAUAGGGUGAAGCCAGAGGAAACUCUGGUGGAGGCUCGCAGCGGUUCUGACGUGCAAAUCGAUCGUCAAAUUUGGGUAUAGGGGCGAAAGACUAAUCGAACCAUCUAUGUC
rnacentral:rRNA from 1 species